AAAAUGUUGUAGUUAUUUAUUUACUUAUGUGAUUGAUUAUUUAUUAUGAUAAAAGAUUGAAAAAAAUGGUCAACGAGGGACUCCUUUUUCCUAUUUCGUAACGCGGAGGGUAAAACAAAUGGUGAUGAUGUGGCGUGAGGCGUGCCGCAGGAAAUUAGUUCAAGGUUAUCGCUUGACGUGAGUGUUGCCAAACGGUUGGUUUGUGCCGUCGUUGAAUUUAACGGUGAUAAUGGGGUUAGGUAUACCAGCAUUAGCUAUAUUUGGAAAUUAGCACAAGAUAAUCGCCUUAGGUGGGGGUUGCCAAACGAUUGGUUCAAAUCAAACGAUCCGGGCCUCAAUUUUCCAACCAAAUGGGUAGCUAAGAUUUCAAACCCCUUCAGUCAUGUUAAGCUAAUAGAGUUGCAGCAGUGUUUGCUAUCAUCGUUUCGUUUACUGAACAACUGAUGGCUCAAUUGUGCGGUUGUAGCUGAUCACACCACGUCCCUCUUUUGACAAGGCUUCCAUGGAACAAUUUUGCUCAAAGUAUCAAAUGUCAUCUAAAUGCGUUGAACUUGGAUGCUUCUUAUUGGCCUUCUCACAAUGCCACGAUGAAAAUGCUGCAAUGACGAAAACGUCUUUUCGGAGUAAGUGCAAGUCUUGACCAUUGUUUUGCUUUUUUUUUUCCUUUUGUUUUUUAUAAUUAUUUAUUUGUUUUCACUUCUUUUCAUCGUAAUAAAUAAAUUAGGGGAUAUCUAUGUUUGAUUGAUUUUAUCAUAAUUUGAUAAUAAGUAUUGUGAACAAUAUUACACAUCAUAGCAAUGUUGGAUAUCAUAUAUGUAAUUUUA